CCUACGGGAGGCAGCAGUGGGGAAUAUUGGACAAUGGGCGCAAGCCUGACCCAGCAACGCCGCGUGAAGGAAGAAGGCUUUCGGGUUGUAAACUUCUUUUGUCAGGGACGAAGCAAGUGACGGUACCUGACUAGUAAGCCGCGGCUAACUACGUGCCAGCCGCCGCCGUAAUACGUGGGUGGCAAGCGUUAUCCGGAUUUGCUGGGUGUAAAGGCCGUGGAGGCGGGACUGCAAGUUCGAUGUGAAAACCACGGGGUCAACCCGUGGCCUGCAUUUGAUACUGUAGGUCUUGAGUACUGGAGAGGCAGACGGAAUUCCUAGUGUAGCGGUGAAAUGCGUAGAUAUUAGGAGGAACACCAGUGGCGAAGGCGGUCUGCUGGACAGAAACUGACGCUGAGGCGCGAAAGCGUGGGGAGCAAACAGGAUUAGAUACCCCUGUAGUC
rnacentral:rRNA from 1 species